GGGGGGGGGGGGGGGGGGGGGGGGGGGGGGGGGGGGGGGGGGGGGGGGGGGGGGGGGGGGGGGGGGUUGGGCUGUACCUCAGACUGUGUCAUACAGGUCGGGCUGUACCUUUGGGUUGUACCUCACAGACUGUGUCACAUGGGUUGGGUUGUACCUUCGGGCUGUACCUCAGACUGUGUCACAUGGGGUGGGCUGUACCUCAGACUGUGUCACACAGGUCGGGCUGUACCUUUGGGUUGUACCUCACAGACUGUGUCACAUGGGUUGGGUUGUACCUUCGGGCUGUACCUCAGACUGUGUCACACGGGUCGGGCUGUACCUUUGGGUUGUACCUCACAGAACUGUGACACACAGGUCGGGCUGUACCUUUGGGUUGUACCUCACAGACUGUGUCACAUGGGUUGGGUUGUACCUUCGGGCUGUACCUCAGACUGUGUCACACAGGUCGGGCUGUACCUUUGGGCUGUACCUUUGGGCUGUACCUCAGACUGUGCCACACGGCGUCACAGCCGCGUCGCCGUGCUCACCUCGCUGUGACGGUGACACGCACAGUCACACCCCCGGCCAUGUCACACCUGGUGACCGGGGGGGAACACUCCCCCCAACUCCUGACCCCCAAAAUCGCCCCCUGCUCCCCAAACUGCUCCUUCUCUGCCCCCCAAAUCCCCCCCAACCCCUCGUGCUCCCCACAAAACACCCUUCUCCACCCCCCAAGUUCCCCGUUAUUGCCACAAUUGUCCCCACGAUCUCCUGCUCCUCCAGUACUCCUCCCUGACCCCCAGACACCAAAAUUCUUUUUCAUUUCUCCACUUAUGGCCCCCGAGUCCUUGGGGGGGGGGGGGGGGGGGGGGGGGGGGGGGGGGGGGGGGGGGGGGGGGGG
rnacentral:lncRNA from 12 species